UGUGUGUGUGAGAUAGUGUGUCCAGUGUGUGAGUGUGUGUGUUUGUCCAGUGUGUGUGUGUGUGUGUGUGUGUGUUUGUGUGUUUGUCCAGUGUGUGUGUGUGUUUGUCCAGUGUGUGUGUGUGUUUGUCCAGUGUGUGUGUGUGUGUGUGUUUGUCCAUGUGUGUGUGUGUGUGUGUGUUUGUCCAGUGUGUGUGUGUGUGUGUUUGUCCAGUGUGUGUUUGUCCAGUGUGUGUGUGUGUGUGUGUGUGUUUGUCCAGUGUGUGUGUGUGUGUGUGUGUGUGUUUGUCCAGUGUGUGUGUGUGUGUUUUUGUCCGGUAUGUGUGUGUGUGUGUUUGUCCAGUGUGUGUGUGUUUGUUUGUCCAGUGUGUGUGUGUGUGUGUGUGUCCAGUGUGUGUGUGUGUGUGUGUGUGUGUGUGUGUGUGUGUUGUCCAGUGUGUGUGUGUGUGUGUGUUUGUCCAGUGUGUGUGUGUUUGUCCAGUGUGUGUGUGUGUGUGUGUGUGUGUUUGUCCAGUGUGUGUGUGUGUGUUUGUCCAGUGUGUGUGUGUGUGUGUGUGUUUGUCCAGUGUGUGUGUGUGUGUUUGUCCAGGGUGUGUGUGUGUGUGUGUGUGUGUGUGUGUGUGUGUGUGUGUGUGUGUUUGUCCAGUGUGUGUGUGUGUGUGUUUGUCCAAUGUGUGUGUGUGUUUGUCCAGUGUGUGUGUGUGUGUGUGUUUGUCGAAGUGUGUGUGUGUGUGUGUGUGUUUGUCCAGUGUGUGUGUGUGUGUGUGUGUGUGUUUGUCCAGUGUGUGUGUGUGUGUGUGUGUGUUUGUCCAGUGUGUGUGUGUGUGUGUGUGUGUGUGUGUGUGUGUGUUUGUCCAGUGUGUGUGUGUGUGUGUGUGUUUGUCCAGUGUGUGUGUGUGUGUGUGUGUGUGUGUGUGUGUUUGUCCAGUGUGUGUGUGUGUGUGUGUGUGUGUUUGUCCAGUGUGUGUGUGUGUGUGUGUUUGUCCAGUGUGUGUGUGUGUGUUUGUCCAGGUGUGUGUGUGUGUGUGUUUGUCCAGUGUGUGUGUGUGUGUGUGUGUUUGUCCAGGUGUGUGUGUGUGUGUGUGUGUGUGUGUGUGUGUGUGUGUGUUUGUCCAGUGUGUGUGUGUGUGUUUGUCCAGUGUGUGUGUGUGUGUGUUUUUGUCCGGUAUGUGUGUGUGUGUUUGUCCAGUGAGUGUGUGUGUGUGUUUGUCCAGUGUGUGUGUGUGUGUUUGUCCAGUGUGUGUGUGUUUGUGUGUGUGUUUGUCCAGUGAGUGUGUGUGUGUGUUUGUCCAGUGUGUGUGUGUUUGUCCAGUGAGUGUGUGUGUGUUUGUUUGUCCAGGUGUGUGUGUGUGUGUGUGUUUGUCCAGUGUGUGUGUGUGUGUUUGUCCAGUGUGUGUGUGUGUGUUUGUCCAGUGUGUGUGUGUGUGUGUGUGUCCAGUGUGUGUGUGUGUGUGUCCAGUGUGUGUGUGUGUGUGUGUGUGUGUGUGUGUGUGUCCAGUGUGUGUGUGUGUGUCCAGUGUGUGUGUGUGUGUGUGUCCAGUGUGUGUGUGUGUGUGUGUGUCCAGUGUGUGUGUGUGUGUGUGUGUCCAGUGUGUGUGUGUGUGUGUCCAUUUUGUGUCCAGUUUCAG
rnacentral:lncRNA from 1 species